UGGGGAAUUUUGGACAAUGGGCAAAGCCUGAUCCAGCAAUGCCGCGUGUGUGAAGAAGGCCUUCGGGUUGUAAAGCACUUUUGUCCGGAAAGAAAUCCUUGGCUCUAAUACAGUCGGGGGAUGACGGUACCGGAAGAAUAAGCACCGGCUAACUACGUGCCAGCAGCCGCGGUAAUACGUAGGGUGCAAGCGUUAAUCGGAAUUACUGGGCGUAAAGCGUGCGCAGGCGGUUUGCUAAGACCGAUGUGAAAUCCCCGGGCUCAACCUGGGAACUGCAUUGGUGACUGGCAGGCUAGAGUAUGGCAGAGGGGGGUAGAAUUCCACGUGUAGCAGUGAAAUGCGUAGAGAUGUGGAGGAAUACCGAUGGCGAAGGCAGCCCCCUGGGCCAAUACUGACGCUCAUGCACGAAAGCGUGGGGAGCAAACAGGAUUAGAUACCCUGGUAGUCCACGCCCUAAACGAUGUCAACUAGUUGUUGGGGAUUCAUUUCCUUAGUAACGUAGCUAACGCGUGAAGUUGACCGCCUGGGGAGUACGGUCGCAAGAUUAAAACUUAAAUGAAUUGAC
rnacentral:rRNA from 1 species